UAAUAAAAACACAUUAAUGGUAAUUUAUCAAAAAAUUCCACAGCAGGCACUGUUUUAAGCACUUCACAUGAAUUAGCACAUUUAAUCUUCGUGACAACUUUAUGAAGCAAAAACUUGCAUUAUCUACAUUUUUACCAAUGAGGAAACCGGAACACUGAGAGGUUAAGCAACUUGCCCAAAGUUACACAGCAAGAAGUGGGAGAGGUGGGGUUUGAAUUCAGAUGGCUUGACCUCAGGAUCCACAAAGAAAACUAACAUAACCAACAUGCAUGGGAGGGAAGGGGGGCAGAGAACAAAAAUCAGAAUAACUGUAUUAAUUCCCUCGUCUCUCAAUGGAAGAAAUCGUUCAUUACCAUUCAACAUUGGGCACCGUCUGGGAGUCGUUUUUGAUUAGGAGUUGACCUCAGAAAUAUGCUCGCAUCAUUUUGAAAACAUCUCUCAGCACCACAGAAACCAGCUCAGAAGGAGAAAGGACACUGAGUGGACGAGAGCCAGGCCUGGGCGUAUGCUUGGGACCAGGGCCUUCCCACGGCUCCGGGGGCGUGCGGGCCUGAAGGGAAGUGGGGCUGCAUCCCGGUCAUGCCCCAGGAAGCGUACUGGCCUAGACCCUCUGGGAGUGGUGAUGAUGAUUGCCAUCGCCAUCACCACGCAUGACACCAGCCAUCUCACUGUGGUAGGCUUACCUACCACAGACUGUCCGGUUUCAGGGGGGGUCCCACGGGUGACCUCAUCGUGUGCUCACAUCUCCUCUCAGGCAGGCCUCACUGGAGUCUGAGGUCCGAGUGGCAUUGUCAGGUACCGCCUGCUCGGGGGCUGGCAGGGUCAGGGUGGAAGGUCAGUGCACUUGACCCACUGGGUCAAGGCUAUCAUAGGGGUCCAGUGAUUAGGAGCACAAAGCCAAGAGGGAGAAAGCAUGAACCCAAGCUGGGUAUGGGAGAGGGUGGUCACAGGCGGCGAGCAGGACAUACGUGCUCUCGGAGGUCAGUGUUGAAAGGGAGGGAGCAGGUGGGCAACUGGGGAGCAGCAGAGAGCUAUGGUUGACCAAGGACGAGGCUCCUGUUUCCACCUCUUGCUAUAUAUGCCUCUGGGAUCUCCAGAUGGCUUCACGGAGGGAGACUGGCGAGGUGGGAGUGUUCAUCCCCCCAGGAGUCCACAGCCUAUAGGAGAACCAGGGAGAAAUCCCCUCUGAGCUGGGGAUUCAGGAAAGCUCCCCCUGGAAGGCGGCUUUGGAGUCCGCAUCAGUCUCCCAGGGCCACGCGGCAGCAACGUGCCACAGACUGAGUGGCCUAAAACAACAAUUUGGGUUUGCAAAAAACGUUUACUCUCUUAUCGAUCUGAAUGCGGAAAUCCACGGUCAAGGUGUUGGCGGAGCCAGUCUCCCUCCAGAGGCUUCGGGGAGGAAUCCUGCAUUGCUUCCUGUGGCUUCCCUGCGGCCCCGGGUGCUCCUUGGCUUGGGGCCGUGCCCGCUCUUGCAUCUUCACGGCCUCCUGCCACUUCGCGCUGUCUUGCCCUCUUGGGAGGACGCUUAUCCUUGGAUUCAGGGCCUACCCACGUGGUCCAGGAUGAUCUCCUCUUGAGCUCGUGACCCUAAUUACAUCCCCCCAAGACCCUUUUUCCAAAUAAGGUAGCACUCACGGGCUCCUCGUGCGCGUUUCGGAGUGGGGGGCACCAUUCAACCUUCUACAGUCAGUAAGAUCGAUUUUCCCCCAUCCAGUGGGAGCUUCUUGAGAAUAGAAACUGUACGUCUUCACCCAUUUCUUCAGUCAUUCGUUCAUCGCACAAACAUCAAGGGAUGCUUGCCACGUCCCAGGCCCAGGCACGGGCUACAGAGCAACCCCAGCAGGUCCCGGAGCUGACCUUGCGGCGGGGGAGGCUGACCCAGCAAGACCGGAAACACGAACGCUGUUGGAGGGGGAGUCGCCCGGGGAAUGAGGGAGAGGCAAGGCCAAUACGGGUGGGGUGGGGUGGGCCAGCUCUAACCAGGGAGGGCAGAAGACGUGACCCACAGGCUGGGCCCUGGAUGCUGAGAAGGACCCGGUUAUUCCCUCCCGCUCACUGUGGCCCUGUGUGAUCUUGGGCAAGUCGCCUACUCUCUCUGUGCCUCAGUGUCCUCCUGCGUAAAGUGCCGAUGGUGACAACACAGCCGGGGAGAGCCAUCCUGCGGACGAGGUGAGGGAGCCAGGAGAAGCCUUCAGACAGCAGGGUUCCUAGGACCUGCUCCGGGAGCAGUAGCCAGUCCUCAUGAAAGAAGACUUCAGUAUUAGCGUUAUUAGUGCAGAGCAAAGUGAUGCACCAAACACUUUUCGUUAACAGUUUGGGGUAUUUAUUCUAAAAAAACGAAAAAGACUUCAAAGUAGUCAUCACGCAACACUUGGAAACGUCUUGGACUUCCUUGUUUUACAGCUUAAUGUUGGGUUUUGUUUGAGUUCGAGUAGGCGGUGUGAGACGUUAUACUCUGCUCAGGGCUCGGGAAUGCAUAACCCUUGGAGCGGCCUGGCAGAAGUGCCUGUGGACUCCGGUCCCUACUCUGGGCAGAGCAAGCGGAGUCCCUGGGAUUCAGCCCACGAUCCAGGGACCUGCCUGGGCUGGCAGGGCUCCGGGCCUCCUACACGUCGUCGUCUCAGCAGAUGGACUGAGGUCAGGCUGACAUUGUCCUGGGGCGAGGACCCGAGGAGCCACCAAGAAGCCCCCCUCCCCCGCCCAGGAGCUGCUCUGACGGGGCACAGGGAGGGCCCCAGACCCCCAGGCUCUGGGCCUGCGCGUCCCCAGCGGAGCCUCCAGAAUCUGUCCCUCUAGGGGGCAGUAGGGCUCCACUGAGAGACCCCAUCCCCGCUCCCAGAGGCCAGGAAAUGCUCCUGGCCUUAGAAUCGACUCAGUGUUGAGCGCUAAGGGGGAUGGCUGCACGCACUUUGCCUUGUCUGGGCCCACAGCUUCAAUCUUUGCACAUCAGGGUGUUGGGAGGUGGGGACGCUCACGGGGAAGGCAGUCGUUCGUGUUUCUAAACAAAAAAAAGCGGCAUCCACUUAGGGGAGGAUUAGGGGCUCCAGCCAGCACGCAGAGGUCACCUCCAGUGGCCGGGGGAGGUGGGUGGGUAUCUCAGGCUCCGGACAUUCACGUGGAGAAGGUGUGCAUUUCCACGUGCAUGUUUAUGGCCAGACUCAGGUUUUUAGACUAAAAACGAGCCUCCGUGGCGCGUUCUCCUCCACCCACCGUGGGGAGCACCUGCUUUUCCUCCUGCUCCUCCUCCUCUUCCUCGGCAACCGAGGACAGCCCCAGGCGUGCUUUGGCGGAGCACUGAGACCCCAGACCUGAGACUCGUGGACAGCACCGUCGAUGGCCCCGUGGUUCUCCGGGGGCAAGUGUGGGGGUUGUGAGCGCUCCUGCCUUGGGCGCACACAGCCCCAGGUUCGGAUCCGAACUUUGCCACUCACGCUGGGUGGUCGUCAGCAGGGAUCCUCCCUGACCCUCCCGCCUCGCCUGGGAGACAAGGGGAGACCUGCCUUGCAAGGUGGCUGUGAUUCCCGGACCCCCUUUUGAGGACAGGAUUCCUGGAACGGACUUAGCGUGGUGCCAGGCACAUAGUAAAUGUGACCCAUGACACUGCCGGCUACCCCCCUCCCUGCUGCCACCCACCCGCCUACGAGACUCCUCCUACCCUGACCUACAUUCCUGCGUGGAAAAGUUGCUCUUCUCUGUAUCUUCUCUGCGUCCUGAUUACAGUCUGUCUCCCCUGCUGGGCAUGUAGUCAGUAUCCGUAUCUAUCUGUUGAUUACGUGAAUGAAUAAUGGGAGCUCAUAAGACAGCUCUCUGGGCCUCCAUUUCCCCAGCUGUGCAAGAGGAUGAUGGUAUUAUUACAAGUCUCCGAGAGUGCUUGGGAUGGAUUAACGCCAGCAAGCCUGUGUGAGCGCACCUGGCCCAGGCACUCAGUAGAUGCAAAUUUGCUUCCUGGUUCAGAUUUCAGAUGUUGUCCGAGGCUUUAUACUGCCAGCAAGAGACUCGCCAGCCCACCCCGCAGCCCCCAGGGGCAGCUCAGACCUGUAGGCCUUGGGCUCAGAGAGGUGCGGUCACUUGCCUGUGUAAGUGGCUGCUUCGAGCCCAGGAACAGUCUCAGCCAUUCCUCUGUGUGAAACAGCCAGAGGCUGAGUCGUCAGGGGGCGGGGUGGCCCCUGGUGGGGGCACAGACCUCCUGUGGUGGCCAAGAGCAAGGACUUCAGAGGCACGAGUCCCAGCGAGGCAGUGUUCCCCACCCAGGCCCUCUGGCAGGUGGAUUCACACGUGAGGCCCAGCUUCCUGUAAAGUUGGGGCUGAUGCUGGCCCCUCCCUCCAAGAGCAUAGUGAGAAUAUAACCAGCACCAUAAAUGGGAGGCGCUACUGUGCUGAGUUCACUGUAGAGAAAGGAGGAACAGCCCCCAAGGAUGUGCCAGUCCUGGUCCCCAGAACCUCUGUAUUUGUACUAUGUGGGAGGAAGGGGGAUUAAGGUUGCUGAUGCGCUGGCCUGGUAGGGAGGGUGGCCUGGAGUAGACCCAGUGUAACCACAGGACCCUUAGCAGUGGAAGGGGGAGGCAGGGGCGUCAGUGUCGAGGGGAUAUGGCAAGAAAGGCUCCACCUGACAUUGUCAGCUUUGAAGAUGGAGGAGGGGGCCACAAGCCAAGGCAUGCCGGUGGCCUCCAGAGGCUGGAAAUGGCAGGAACUCUUAGAGCCUCCAGAGGGAACACAGCCUUGGCGACAGCUUGCUUUUAGCCCGGAGAGGCUUCCGCCCUCCCAGACUGUAAGCUCAUCACGGUUGCUUUCAGCUGCAUGUUUGUGGCGGUUGGUCACAGCGGCCCCAGGGACAUCACAGAGAGGACUCCCUCUCAGGAAGAGGCUCUCACACCUGCUCAAGGGGGGCUGAGACGAGAAUCCUGUCCUUCAUACAUGAACAGAGAACUUCAGAGUGAUAUGCCCCCAGAAUCCAUCCAGGGCAGUGGUCUGCUCCACAGGACCUCAUCGGUCAGUCAGGAAAUGCCGAACACGUGGUCCACCUUUUAGACAGUCAUAGCAUUCUGAGCUCUUCAAGGCCCUGACAAGGUCAGCAGCAGAGAGGAGAAACGGAUUUCUGACUUUCACUCAGCACUUUCAAAGAGACGUACCACCAACUACAUCCCCCUUAACACCGAGGAACAGCUCACAAAGCCUGUGUUCAGUGCAAGGACUGACCUCAUUGAAUCGAUCUCUGCGACAAAAGGAGAAACUAGGGCCCAAAGAGGCGUCCGUGCCGCCAAACAGCGAUGGAGCCUGGUGGCAAGAAGGGAGCGUUGGCAGCCAGAGAGCCGGUUCGCAGCCUGGCUCUGUGGAAACCAGCUGUGUGGCCUGGGGAGGCUACGUCGCCUCCCAGAGCCUCCAUUUCCUCGUGUGUGACUUGGAGAUAAAAGUGGCUGCUUUGCCCAACACCAUGAAUGACUGUCUUCAUCCAUCCUGAAAGCUAAAACAAGUUACUAUAGACUGGCUGGCGUAGAACAACAGAAAUUUCUUGCCCUUGUGGAAGCUGGAAGUCGAGACAGGGGUGUGAGGGCUCGGCCUCUGGGAGACCCUCCUCUGAGUGGCCCCUCCGCCUGAGAGCUCUUUGUAAAGGCCCUCACCCCUUCCUGAGGAUUAGGCUCCACCUUCGUGACCCUGUCUCCGCCCCAAAGGCCCCACGUCACGACACCCUCAUGGUGGGGGUUCGGAUCCCCACGCAGGAGUCCCCACUCCAUACAAGGAUCCAUUGCAGGGGCUGGCACGAGCCUGGUAGUCAGGGAAGAGUAAAUAUUACCAUCUGUGUGCGUUUCCUGUUGUUGCCAUAACAAAUCAUCAUGGACUGAAUGGCUUCAAACACAAAUGUGUUAUCUUGCGUUUCUUGGGGUCAGCAGCCCUAAAAUCAAGAGGUCGGCAGGGCUGAUUGCUUCUGGAGGCUCCAAGGAGAAUCUUUCUUUGCCUUUUCCAGGUUCUAGAAGCUGCCCAUGUUCCUCGGCGCACAUGCCUAUGUCCCCUGCCUCCUGUCCCUUCUUGGAGCCUGACCCUCCUGCCUCCCUCCUUUAAGGCCCCUUGUGGUUCCGUCGGGUCCACCCAGAUAAUCCAGGACAAUCUCGGGAUCUCAUGGUUCCUCCGCACAGUUGCACAGUCACUUUUACCGUGUAAGGUGACACCUUCACAGGGUCCAGGAUGGAGGAUGUGGACAUUUUGGGUGCCAUCAUUGAGCUGACCACAUGACUCCUCUGAUGCCUCCUUUCCUGGGCCUCCCUCCUCCUGCUGCUGUGGGUUCACUCUCUUCCGCUCCAGCCUGGACACCGAAGUCGUGACUGAGUUUGGAUUUAGGGUUCCAGUUGGUCAAGCGGAGGAGAAAGUUUUUGUGUCUCCCCAAAUACUCCUUCUCACCCCCAGACCAUGUAGGUUGCCCUACAGGGUCUUCUCAGAAGACUACAGCCAAGGAUUCCAGAGAAAACAGCAAAUAUACCCGUGCCGUUGUCAGAUACAGGAGCCCCUGCCAUGUGCCUGGCCUGUCUCAUGCCUGUGGGCACGGACAGACAGGCCUUGCUCUCAAGGACUGACUUCCUUAUGGGGAAGACAGGGGAGAGAUCAGAUGACAGGCACUAGACCAAAACAUGAAGGACCAUGGACCAUGGAGAUGGAGGGUG